rnacentral:rRNA from 1 species
CCAAUAGCGUAUAUUAAAGUUGUUGCAGUUAAAAAGCUCGUAGUUGAACUUCGGGGUUUACCCAUUGGUCAGGCUUAAUUGUCUGUACUGGUGAGAUGAAUCUCUACCUUCUGAGGAACUUUCAUGCCAUUUAUUUGGUGUGAUGGGAAAUCAGGACUGUUACUUUGAAAAAAUUAGAGUGUUUAAAGCAGGCUAACGUCUGAAUACAUUAGCAUGGAAUAAUGAAAUAGGACGGACUGAUUCUAUUUCGUUGGUUUCUAGGAUCACCGUAAUGAUUAAUAGGGAUAGUUGGGGGCAUUAGUAUUCAAUUGUCAGAGGUGAAAUUCUUGGAUUUAUUGAAGACUAACUACUGCGAAAGCAUUUGCCAAGGAUGUUUUCAUUAAUCAAGAACGAAAGUUAGGGGAUCGAAGACGAUCAGAUACCGUCGUAGUCUUAACCAUAAACUAUGCCGACUAGGGAUCGGACGAAGUUAAUUUUAUAAUGACGUGUUCGGCACCUUACG